UACGGGGGGGGCUAGCGUUGUUCGGAAUUACUGGGCGUAAAGGGCGCGUAGGCGGUCUGCUAAGUUGGAUGUGAAAACUCUGGGCUUAACCCAGAGCCUGCAUUCAAUACUGACAGGCUAGAGUUCUGGAGGGGAUAGCGGAAUUCCUGGUGUAGCGGUGAAAUGCGUAGAUAUCAGGAGGAACACCGGUGGCGAAGGCGGCUAUCUGGACAGAGUCUGACGCUGAGGCGCGAAAGCUAGGGGAGCAACAGG
rnacentral:rRNA from 1 species